CGGUCCCGGGAGGGCGGAGUCACUAGUCUGCGCGGUGACCUGCUGCCACUUUUUUGCUCAGAGUCGUUGGCUUUUAGGGGUGGAGCCGCUGCGAGAUCUUUAAGGCCUACAUUUACUCCUGUAAUAACUGCCUUGGAUUGCAGACAUGACUCUUCAGCCAGCGCUGUGAAAUAGAUGGGUCUCACCUAUAUGCUUCUCAGGUGGGCCCUAAAUGCCAUCACAAGAAUCCUUGUAAGAGAAAGGCAGACAGUGAUUUUAAAAAUACACAGAGAAAGGAAGAUGAUGUGAAGAUGGAAGUAGAGAGUGG